GACGGAGGAUGCAAGCGUUAUCCGGAAUGAUUGGGCGUAAAGCGUCCGCAGGUGGCAGUUCAAGUCUGCUGUCAAAGACCGGGGCUUAACUUCGGAAAGGCAGUGGAAACUGAACAGCUAGAGUAUGGUAGGGGCAGAGGGAAUUCCUGGUGUAGCGGUGAAAUGCGUAGAGAUCAGGAAGAACAUCGGUGGCGAAGGCGCUCUGCUGGACCAUAACUGACACUCAGGGAUGAAAGCUAGGGGAGCGAAUGGG
rnacentral:rRNA from 1 species